AGUGAACGCUGGCGGCGUGCCUAAUACAUGCAAGUCGAACGGAGUGGCGCACGGGUGAGUAAUAUAUAGCUAAUCUGCCCCUUGCUGGAGGACAACAGUUCGAAAUGACUGCUAAUACUCCAUAGCAAGGGAUGAGACUAUAUCGGAUCAGCUAGUCGGUGGGGUAACGGCCUACCGAGGCUAUGACGCGUAACUGGUCUGAGAGGAUGAUCAGUAAAAUUGGAACUGAGACAAGGUCCAAAAUCCUACGGGAGGCAGCAGUAGGGAAAACUGCGCAAUGGGGGAAACCCUGAAGAAGCAACGCAGCGUGGAGGAUGACACUUUGCGGAGCGUAAACUCCUUUUGUUAGGGAAGCGGUACCUAACGAAUAAGCACCGGCUAACUCCGUGCCAGCAGCCGCGGUAAUAC
rnacentral:rRNA from 1 species